AGGGAAGUUAGCGACUAUAUCUAAAGCUUCUAACUUUAGAAAAAGAGGUUUGACUCCUUUUAUUUCCCUA
rnacentral:tRNA from 1 species